AUUGAACGCUGGCGGCAGGCCUAACACAUGCAAGUCGAGCGGAGCGGCAGACGCGUGAGUAAUGCCUAGGAAUCUGCCUGGUAGUGUGGGAUAACGUCCGGAAACGGGCGCUAAUACCGCAUACUAUCAGAUUAGCCUAGGUCGGAUUAGCUAGUUGGUGGGGUAAAGGCCUACGAAGGCGACGAGCCGUAACUGGUCUGAGGGGAUGAUCAGUCACACUGGAACUGAGAAACGGUCCGAAUUCCUCCGGGAGGCAGAAGUGGGGAAUAUUGGAAAAUGGGCGAAAGCCUGAGCCAGCCAUGCCGCGUGUGUGAAGAAGGUCUUCGGAUUGUAAAGCACUUUAAGUUGGGAGGCGUUACCAACAGAAUAAGCACCGGCUAACUUCGUGCCAGCAGCCGCGGUAAUAC
rnacentral:rRNA from 1 species